GAUGAACGCUGACAGAAUGCUUAACACAUCAGCAAUUGAUUGGUGGCGGAAGGGUGAGUAAUGCGUAAAGAACUUGCCUCACAGAUAGGGCCAACAUGUGGAAACGAAUGAUAAUACAUAAUACUGUGAGAGAGCUUUGCGUCCCAGUAGCUAGUUGGAGAGGUAACGGCUCACAAAGGCGAGGAUGGGUAGCCGGACUGAGAGGGUGAUCGGCCACAGGGGGACCGAGACACGGCCCUUAAUCCUACGGGAGGCAGCAGUUGGGAAUAUGGGACAAUGGACCAAAGUCUGAUCCAGCAAUUCUGUGUGCACGAUGAAGUUUUCGGAAAGUAAAGGGCUUUCAGUUGGUAAGCGGUACCAACAGAAGAAGUUACGGCUAAAUACGUGCCAGCAGCCGCGGUAAUUC
rnacentral:rRNA from 1 species